rnacentral:rRNA from 1 species
GACGAACGCUGGCGGCAUGCCUAAUACAUGCAAGUCGAGCGAACAGAUGAAGUGCUUGCACUUCUGACGUUAGCGGCGAACGGGUGAGUAACACGUAAGGAAUCUACCUAUAAGCGGGGGAUAACAUUCGGAAACGGGUGCCAAUACCGCAUAAUAUCUUCUUCCGCAUGGAAGAAGAUUGAAAGACGGCUCUGCUGUCACUUAUAGAUGACCUUGCGGUGCAUUAGUUAGUUGGUGGGGUAACGGCCUACCAAGACGAUGAUGCGUAGCCGACCUUGUAGGGUGAGCGGCCACAUUGGGACUGAGACACGGCCCAAACUCCUACGGGAGGCAGCAGUAGGGAAUCUUCCGCAAUGGGCGAAAGCCUGACGGAGCAAUGCCGCGUGAGUGAAGAAGGCCUUCGGGUCGUAAAACUCUGUUAUAAGAGAAGAACAAAUUGUAGAGUAACUGCUACAGUCUUGACGGUAUCUUAUCAGAAAGCCACGGCUAACUACGUGCCAGCCGCCGCGGUAA